UUCCAAUCAUUAGACCCCAGCACCCCGCCUGGGGAAAAGCA
rnacentral:tRNA from 1 species